rnacentral:rRNA from 1 species
CGGGCGCUGCCUUAACAUGCAGUCGAACGGUAACAGGGAGCUUGCUCCGCUGACGAGUGGCGAACGGGUGAGUAAUACAUCGGAACGUGCCCAGUAAUGGGGGAUAGCUCGGCGAAAGCCGGAUUAAUACCGCAUACGCCCUGAGGGGGAAAGUGGGGGACCGCAAGGCCUCACGUUAUUGGAGCGGCCGAUGGCUGAUUAGCUAGUUGGUAGGGUAAAGGCCUACCAAGGCGACGAUCAGUAGCUGGUCUGAGAGGACGAUCAGCCACACUGGGACUGAGACACGGCCCAGACUCCUACGGGAGGCAGCAGUGGGGAAUUUUGGACAAUGGGGGAAACCCUGAUCCAGCAAUGCCGCGUGUGCGAAGAAGGCCUUCGGGUUGUAAAGCACUUUUGUCAGGGAAGAAAUCCUUUGGGCUAAUACCCUAGGGGGAUGACGGUACCUGAAGAAUAAGCACCGGCUAACUACGUGCCAGCAGCCGCGGUAAUACGUAGGGUGCAAGCGUUAAUCGGAAUUACUGGGCGUAAAGCGUGCGCAGGCGGUUGUGUAAGACAGGUGUGAAAUCCCCGGGCUUAACCUGGGAAUUGCAUUUGUGACUGCACGACUAGA